UACGUAGGGUGCAAGCGUUAAUCGGAAUUACUGGGCGUAAAGCGUGCGCAGGCGGUUGUGUAAGACAGAUGUGAAAUCCCCGGGCUUAACCUGGGAACUGCAUUUGUGACUGCACGGCUAGAGUGUGUCAGAGGGGGGUGGAAUUCCACGUGUAGCAGUGAAAUGCGUAGAUAUGUGGAGGAACACCAAUGGCGAAGGCAGCCCCCUGGGAUAACACUGACGCUCAUGCACGAAAGCGUGGGGAGCAAACAGG
rnacentral:rRNA from 1 species